rnacentral:lncRNA from 1 species
GGUAUAUUUCUCAGAUGAGGUCUCUCUUCUGUUUUUGCUUUUCUGUCACAGGAUUUGAAUUUCUGAUCUCUCUGUGUAUGUUUGUCCAAGAAGCGAGGGGUCUUCCAUUUGGGGUUAUAUGUCCCCAUUUGUUCGAUCCCUGGCCUCACUCAGUGGGUGAAGUAUCUGGCAUUGCUGUGAGCUGUGGUGUAGGCCACAGACAUGGCUCGGAUUUGGGGUGCCUGUGGCUGUGGUGUAGGCCGGCACCUAUAGCGCUGAUUCGACCCCUAGCCCAGGAACCUCUACAUACCGCAGGUGCAGCCCUAAAAAGAGAAAAAGAAAAAAGAAUGUAUACAUAUGGGUAGGACUCAGUCACUUUGCUGUACAACAGAAAUUGACAUAACAUUGUAAAUCAAAACUAUACUUUAAAAAAAGAGGUCCUUUGUAGAUGCGAUUGGAGUUCCCUGGUGGCUCAGUAGGUUAAGGAUCUGGUUUAUCACUGCUAUGGCUUGGGUUGCUGCUGUGGCGCAGGUUCAGCCCAUGGCCCUGGAAGUUCCAUACGCUGCAGGUGUGGCCAAAAGAAAAACGUCCUUUGUAGUUGUGAUUAAGCAAAUCACCUUGAGAUGGAGGAGAUUAUCCUGAAUUUUUCAGGUGAGCAGAGUGUAAUGACAAAAGUCCUUGCAGAAGGCAGGAUAGUCAAAGAAGCAGAUGUGAUGACCAAAAUAGAGAUCAGAAAGAGAUGUGAGGAGUUCCCGUUGUGGCGCAGUGGUUAACGAAUCCGACUAGGAACCAUGAGGUUGCGGGUUCGGUCCCUGCCCUUGCUCAGUGGGUUAACGAUCUGGCGUUGCCGUGAACUGUGGUGUAGGUUGCAGACACGGCUCGGAUCCUGAGUUGCUGUGGCUCUGGCGUAGGCCGGUGGCUACAGCUCCGAUUCAACCCCUAGCCUGGGAACCUCCAUAUGCCGCGGGAGCGGCCCAAGAAAUAGCAACAACAACAACAACAAAACAACAACAACAAAAAAAAAAAAAAAAAGAGAUGUGAGAGCGAAACACUGCCAGUUUUGAAGAUGGAGGAAGGGGCCAGGAGCUAAGGAUUGCAGGCAGCUUUAGAAACUGGAAAAGACAGAGUUCCCAUCAUGGCUCAGGGGUUAACGAAUCUGACUAGGAACCAUUGAGGUUGUGGGUUCGAUCCCUGACCUCGCUCAGUGGGUGAAGGAUCCAGCGUUGCCGUGAGCUGUGGUGUAGGUCGCAGACACAGCUUGGAUCUGGCGUUGCUGUGGCUGUGGUGUAGGCUGGUGGCUGCAUCUCCGAUUAGACCCCUAGACUGGGAACCUCCAUGUGCUCCAGGAAAGACAG